CCUACGGGAGGCAGCAGUAGGGAAUUUUCGUCAAUGGGCGCAAGCCUGAACGAGCAAUGCCGCGUGAACGAGGAAGGUCUUCGGAUCGUAAAGUUCUGUUGAAGGGGAAAAAGAGCGGAGAGAGGAAAUGAACUCCGAUUGAUAUUACCCUUCGAGGAAGUCACGGCUAACUACGUGCCAGCAGCCGCGGUAAUACGUAGGUGGCGAGCGUUAUCCGGAAUGAUUGGGCGUAAAGGGUGCGUAGGCGGCCUGCUAAGUCUGGAGUGAAAGGUACGGGCUCAACCGGUAUAGGCUUUGGAAACUGGCGGGCUAGAGAGAAGGAGAGGGCAGUGGAACUCCAUGUGAAGCGGUAAAAUGCGUAGAUAUAUGGAAGAACACCAGUGGCGAAGGCGGCCGCCUGGCUUGUUACUGACGCUGAGGCACGAAAGCGUGGGGAGCAAAUAGGAUUAGAUACCCUUGUAGUC
rnacentral:rRNA from 1 species